GUGGGGAAUAUUGGACAAUGGGCGAAAGCCUGAUCCAGCCAUGCCGCGUGUGUGAAGAAGGUCUUCGGAUUGUAAAGCACUUUAAGUUGGGAGGAAGGGCAGUAAGUUAAUACCUUGCUGUUUUGACGUUACCGACAGAAUAAGCACCGGCUAACUUCGUGCCAGCAGCCGCGGUAAUACUAAGGGUGCAAGCGUUAAUCGGAAUUACUGGGCGUAAAGCGCGCGUAGGUGGUUUUGUAAGUUGGAGGUGAAAUCCCCGGGCUCAACCUGGGAACUGCCUCCAAAACUGCAUGACUAGAGUACGGUAGAGGGUAGUGGAAUUUCCUGUGUAGCGGUGAAAUGCGUAGAUAUAGGAAGGAACACCAGUGGCGAAGGCGACUACCUGGACUGAUACUGACACUGAGGUGCGAAAGCGUGGGGAGCAAACAGGAUUAGAAACCCCGGUAGUCC
rnacentral:rRNA from 1 species